GACGUGACUUCAGAGUUUGAUCCUGGCUCAGGAUGAACGCUGGCGGCGUGCUUAACACAUGCAAGUCGAACGGAGAACACUCGCUGAAGCGAGCUUGCUCAAAUCUUGAGUGUUCUUAGUGGCGGACGGGUGAGUAACGCGUGGGUAACCUGCCCUAUGCAGGGGACAACAGUUGGAAACGACUGCUAAUACCGCAUAAGCGCACAGUAUCGCAUGAUACAGUGUGAAAAGCCGAGACGGCAUAGGAUGGACCCGCGUCUGAUUAGCUAGUUGGUGAGGUAACGGCUCACCAAGGCGACGAUCAGUAGCCGGCCUGAGAGGGUGAACGGCCACAUUGGGACUGAGACACGGCCCAA
rnacentral:rRNA from 1 species